AAUAAUUGAAACCAGAAGAAAAAUAUACAUAAUCGGAUUUUUUUCCUUCUUAUUCAUCGUUCAAUUCAAUCACUCGCCGAGUUUUCGUCCGGAUGCUCCGAAUCGUUGCUGUCCAUCCACGCGCCGGCGACCUUCCGUUCUGAUUCUCGGCUGUUAGGUUCUUCAGAGAGAAGGGAGCCUCACAUAGAAAUCAUUUUAUGGUGCACCGAUGAGAAGAACUGAUGUUAUUGGCAGUAGAAGGAGGAGGAUUCUUCUCUGCUUCGGCUUCAGGGUAUACUAAGGGCCUGAGCCUUCUCCUCUUGGGUCAGAGGGAUGAGGAUAAACCCAUGAGAGUAGCUCCGUGGAACCAGUACCAGUUGGUAGACCAAGAAACUGACCGCGAGCUCCAGCUGGCUUCUACAAAGAAUCGCCUCACCCGCGGCUGUGCCUCCUUUGUUUGCUUUGGUCGCACUUCCGCAGGUCUUGAUACUCCGUCUCCUCUUAAAGUGGGCCCUGCCCAGCAGCAUGAAGUCUCUCCAGGACCUUUGGUUUCCAACAAGGGAAAUGAUCCUUCCGCACCACUCGAUGAUGGAAAUGAUAAUAGAAAGCUUACACUUAAAAGUAGCAUAAAGAAGCCGCAAAUUGUUAAACCCGUUCAUGUUGAGGCUGCUAGUGAGCAGGAAGCAGCAGGUGGACAGGGGAUUUGUGCUCCUGGUGGUCAAGCAGAAAGAAGGAAAGUGCAGUGGACUGAUAACUGUGGUAGCGAGCUUGUUGAAAUUCGAGAAUUUGAGCCCAGUGAAGUGGAUGGAUCGGAUGAUGAAUUUGAUAGUGGAAACGACAGAACUUGUUCAUGUACGAUUAUGUAAAUUGGAGUUUCAUUAAGUUGAUAGGUUCGUCGGGGUCAUUCACUGUACACAACCCAUCACUCGGUUUUUCAGUUUCCGUGGAGAUAUGUUCAACCAACACCUUGCCUAAGUGAUGUGUUUGUCAUUGCUCGCUGCGGCUUUAAAUUUUGUUCCUCUGCUCAGCAUCAAUUUGUAUCAUUCUUGUAUGUGUGAAUUCUUUGCCUUUGAUUCAUCAUUUUUAUGCUACUUUAUGUUCUUAUUUUUAUAUGGAUUAACCAAGUUUUCUUUCUA